rnacentral:ncRNA from 1 species
AAAGAUUUUUAGCUUUUUUUUAUUAUGAAAAAUGGAAUUAUAUGUAAAUUUUUGUGUGAUAAAGAUUUAUUUUUAAAUAGAAUAAAAGGAUAUAAAAUAAUCGCAAUAAAAAGUAUUAUUAAAUUUAUGAAAAUAAUAAAUAGGUAAUUUUUAUAGUAUAAACAAAAUUUGUGCCAGCAGUUGCGGUUACACAGAUUAUGCAAUAAUAAAUUAUUGGUUAGCAGUUAAUAAAAGAAAGUGAAAUAAGAAAAAAAUUUAUUAAGUGAAAUUUUAAAUUUUUAAAGUAUUUUAUAUGAAUAAUUGAGGCUGAGAAAAUUUUAUAUUAAACUAGGAUUAGAUACCCUAUUAUAGAGAAAGUAAAUAGUUAAGACCAGAUUAGUAAUAGUUAUGUUCUUGAAAAUUAAGAGAGUUGGCGGUAUUUUAGUCUAUUCAGAGGAACCUGUCCUGUAAUUGAUGAUCCACGUUUUAAAUUACUUAUUUUUUAAGUUUAUAUAUCGCCGUAGAUUGAAUAUUUUUUUAGAAUUAGAAUAUUCAAGAUUUUUUUUUAAAAAGGAAUUCAGGUCAAGAUGUAGCUGAUAGAUAAGAAGAGAUGGGUUACAAUAAAUUUAUUUAAAUGGAUAGAUUUUUGAAAAAAUUUUUGAAAGUGGAUUUGAAAGUAAUUUUAUUAAAAUUAAUAGAAUGAUUUAAGCUCUAAGAUAUGUACAUAUCGCCCGUCGCUUUCAUCCCAAGGUGAAAUAAGUCGUAACAUAGUAGAUGUACUGGAAAGUGUAUCUAGAAAGAC